rnacentral:rRNA from 1 species
CUCGUAGGCGGCUCGUCGCGUCCGGUGUGAAGGUCCAUCGCUUAACGGUGGAUCCGCGCCGGGUACGGGCGGGCUUGAGUGCGGUAGGGGAGACUGGAAUUCCCGGUGUAACGGUGGAAUGUGUAGAUAUCGGGAAGAACACCAAUGGCGAAGGCAGGUCUCUGGGCCGUCACUGACGCUGAGGAGCGAAAGCGUGGGGAGCGAACA